AUUGAACGCUGGCGGCAUGCUUUACACAUGCAAGUCGAACGGUAACAGGGUGCUUGCACCGCUGACGAGUGGCGAACGGGUGAGUAAUGCGUCGGAACGUGCCGAGUAGUGGGGGAUAACGCAGCGAAAGUUGUGCUAAUACCGCAUACGUACUGAGGUAGAAAGUGGGGGACCUUCGGGCCUCACGCUAUUCGAGCGGCCGACGUCUGAUUAGCUAGUAGGUGAGGUAAAGGCUCACCUAGGCGACGAUCAGUAGCGGGUCUGAGAGGAUGGUCCGCCAAACUGGGACUGAGACACGGCCCAGACUCCUACGGGAGGCAGCAGUGGGGAAUUUUGGGCAAUGGGCGAAAGCCUGAUCCAGCCAUGCCGCGUGUCUGAAGAAGGCCUUCGGGUUGUAAAGGACUUUUGUCAGGGAGGAAAUUCCUAGUGCUAAUAACACAGGGGGAUGACAGUACCUGAAGAAUAAGCACCGGCUAACUACGUGCCAGCAGCCGCAGUAA
rnacentral:rRNA from 1 species